UAAUGUUCCUGCUUGUUCCUAUAUAUUAGGAACUAGCAGGAGCAUUAAG
rnacentral:pre_miRNA from 1 species